AUGGCGACUGGCGCACGGGUGAGUAACACGUAUCCAACCUGCCGAUAACUCGGGGAUAGCCUUUCGAAAGAAAGAUUAAUACCCGAUGGUAUAAUCAGACCGCAUGGUUUGAUUAUUAAAGAAUUUCGGUUAUCGAUGGGGAUGCGUUCCAUUAGGCAGUUGGUGAGGUAACGGCUCACCAAACCUUCGAUGGAUAGGGGUUCUGAGAGGAAGGUCCCCCACAUUGGAACUGAGACACGGUCCAA
rnacentral:rRNA from 1 species